rnacentral:rRNA from 1 species
CGACCGGCGCACGGGUGAGUAACGCGUAUCCAACCUGCCUUACACUCUUGGACAGCCUUCUGAAAGGGAGAUUAAUACAAGAUGUUAUCAUGAGUAAGCAUUUUCGCAUGAUUAAAGGUUUACCGGUGUAAGAUGGGGAUGCGUUCCAUUAGAUAGUAGGCGGGGUAACGGCCCACCUAGUCUUCGAUGGAUAAGGGUUCUGAGAGGAAGGUCCCCCACAUUGGAACUGAGACACGGUCCAA